rnacentral:lncRNA from 1 species
AGAUCGGAGCAAAUAUUUUGACCAAUCAAAUUAGGGAGCCAUUCCUAAGUAAAAUUCAAAAGUAAAUGAUAGUUAAAUCUAUAUAAUUCACUACAAACAGUUAUACACGAAGUCUAAGAUGCGGAUGAUGAAGAUUUGCUGCACGUCACAUCAAUCAGAGUAAUGCUUGUGAUUACCUUAUUAGAGCCAUGACUUAGUAAAUCUUGAUGAAAAAAACUGUUUGGUGAAAAGACUUUUAGCAAAAAAAAAUCUUAUUAAACUGUCUAAAUGAUUACUUCUAUAAAAAAGGUGUAGUGCAUACAA